AUUGAACGCUGGCGGCAGGCCUAACACAUGCAAGUCGAACGAGUGGCGGACGGGUGAGUAAUGUCUGGGAAACUGCCUGAUGGAGGGGGAUAACUACUGGAAACGGUAGCUAAUACCGCAUACCAUCGGAUGUGCCCAUAUGGGGUUAGCUAGUAGGUGGGGUAAAGGCUCACCUAGGCCACGAUCCCUAGCUGGUCUGAGAGGAUGACCAGCCACACUGGAACUGAGACACGGUCCAGACUCCUACGGGAGGCAGCAGUGGGGAAUAUUCGACAAUGGGCGCAAGCCUGACGCAGCCAUGCCGCGUGUGUGAAGAAGGCCUUCGGGUUGUAAAGUACUUUCAGCGGGGAGGCGGUACCCGCAGAAGAAGCACCGGCUAACUCCGUGCCAGCAGCCGCGGUAAUUC
rnacentral:rRNA from 1 species